AUGCAGACAUUAUUUUUACCAAAUUGGCUUAUCAACAUUAGACUGCAAUUUAGUUUAGGUAAAGACACAGUAAACAACGGCCGAGAACGCAUGUUUGAUUGAAACAGCAGUUCUAAAUACUUUGAUAAUGUAUUCACUCUGUAGCCUACAGUAUAGAAAUGUCACACUGUAAACCAGAGCUAUAUCCGCUAUAGACAAAAAGCUUUAUUUGUGUUUUUUUCCAUUUUUCCCCAUAGCUUUCCUUUGCCAAAACAAGAACAUUUCAUAUGAAAUCCAAACAUGUUUUAUCCACAUUAAAACCAACUAAAAAUAAAUUGAUCUGAUAACCACACCAUGUUCUUCACCUUUAAAAAAAAAGCAUUACAGGACUACAAGUACCAGAAUGCAUUGUGAUACAAGCAGGAAAACAACAACAACAAUAGCAAACGGCUGACUUCUCUGUUUGACUGCAGAGACUGUUACCCUCGUCGCUCUAAUAUUUCAAGGGUCUACAAUAUAAUUUCAUUUCACAUAUGAAUAACUUCUGCUGCCUCUUUGAAAAGUAAAGUAAGAAAUAACAUGGAAUAAAGUAAAAUAUAAAAGUUGUAUUUAGCUCACUUUUCUCUGAAAUGUCGUUUAUUUCUGCGUUCAUUCGGAUGUUCUCGGCCAGCUCUCUGUAAAUGGUCGGACAUGACCGGGGAGAGGAGUGUUCUAUCACAAAGCCACAACAUUACUCUCAUACACUUCGGUCCCCCAAUCUUUUUUAGUGAAACGGAAAAGUACAUUUUGUAAAGCGGAAGUGCAUCUGAGAUCCCAAACUCCCACUGGAUUUUUUUUGGGGCCAUUUCCGUCACCUUUAAGUGUACAUGGAGGUCUGGCUCCCUUUCCGUCACCUUUAAGUGUACAUGGAGGUCUGGCUCCCUUAGUGUUGCACAAUACAUGGGGAUGUCACAUUGUCCAUUCCCCUCGAGAUGACAGGCCCUCAGUCUCCACAAUGACCCAGCGGUCACCAGCCUCAGUACUGGGACUCAGACAAGAGGACCUGACAUAGAAAUGGGCAUGUGUCGUACAGCGAAAACGUCACACGGUGAAAAGCUCACAUUCAGAGCAUGAGAGAGAAAGAGAGAGAGAGGGGGCAGAGAAUGAGACAGAGAGAGAGUGUAGAGCGAAUGAGAGAGAGUAAGAUAGAAGGGGGUAGAGAGAAUGAGAGAAAGAGAGGGAGAGAGAUGAGGGGUAGAGAGAGAGAGAGAGAGAGAGAGAGGGAGAGAAAGAGAAGAGGGGUAGAGAGAGAAGAGCAGUAAAGAGAGAGAUGAGGGGUAGAGAGAGAGAAAGAGAAGUGGGGUAGAGAGAGAGGGGUAGAGAGAGAGAGUGUGAGAGAAGAGGGGUAGAGAGAGAGGGGUAGAGAGAGAGAAAGAGAGAGAAGAGGGAUAGAGAGAGAGAGAAGAGGGGUAGAGAGAGAGAGAUGGGUAGAGAGAGAAAGAGAGAGGAGGGGUAGAGAGAGAAAGAGAGAGAAGAGGGGUAUAGAGAGAGAGAGAAAGAAGAGGGGUAGAGAGAGAGGGGGGUAGAGAGAGAGAGAAGAGGGGGUAGAGAUAGAGGGGGUAGAGAGAGAGAGAGAGAGAGAGAGAGAGAGAGAGAGAGAGAGAGAAGAGGGGGUAGUGAGAAAGAGAGCACCGCAGCAUGAGAUGAAGAGACUCAUUUUGAAUUCAGCACCAGUGGAAAAAAGGCAAUUUUUUAAACGGUUCAUUUGUUUGUUUUUACAUAACUUUUUUUUUUGUAUGACAAAAAGAUCCUCUUUUUAAAAAAUCUACACUGCCCUGCCUGUGAUGGGACCCCCAUGGCAUGUUUUAGAGGGUCUACACAGAGGUCUAUGGCUGCUUACGACCUUGUUGGAGAGCCACGACAGCGCCGUCCCACCCCCCUGUUCUCCCGGUAUAAAAGUUAAACAAGUGUCUUUGGCAGAUUUACAGAAAAGGUCCUCAUCUACUCUGGGACGCUACUGCUAGAAAUUGCAAAGAUGUUAGAGACUGGUCAGAGACACACAAGAAGAGAGAGAGAGAGAGAGAGAGAGAGAGAGAGAGAGAGAGAGAGAGAGAGAGAGAGACUGGUCAGAGACACACAAGAAGAGAGAGAGAGAGAGAGAGAGAGAGAGAGAGAGAGACUGGUCAGAGACACAAGAAGAGAGAGAGGGAAAGACUGGUCAGAGACACACAAGAAGAGAGAGAGAGAGAGAGAGAGAGAGAGAGAGAGAGAGAGAGAGAGAGAGAGAGAGAGAGAGAGAGACUGGUCAGAGACACACAAGAAGAGAGAGAGAGAGAUAAAGAGAAGGUUCACCUAUGAUCUAUCACCGCAGGAGCCAACGUGACAAAGUAAUAUACUACUGUAUAAUACACUGUAACAGAAUGAACAUGUACAAGUGGGACACUAUUGAGCAUAAUCAAAGCACAAAGCCUCAAAGAGAAACGCAAACAGUCCGAAGAUGAAGAUGCAAAUGAGAGGGUCCUUAAGUGGAGAUGACGUCACUGUCGACCAUCCAGACACGUAGGAGGGGAGUUUGUUCUCAGUUCGGUUCAAAACCCCAUCCAUUUCUUGCACAUCCCAGCGCUCCUCUGCAGCUGGGAGGCUGUUUUUGUAAAGACUUUAAGGAACUCCUUCCUGUCUUUAAGGGACUCCUUCUUGUCUUUCCACUACUCCUUCCUGGUCCCCAGGACUACUCCACUUUAUUGCCACCUGGACUUGAGCUGUAGGCCGAGGGUCAGAAGCCAGAGGUCAUGAAGCAAGGGUUACGCUGAGGAGUUGGAGGGUUCUGAGGGAGGGAGGGGCAGUAUGAGUUUACAGUGUCCAGAUGGUGCAUGUCGAGGGGUUGAGGGUGGAGGGGAGUGGACUGAUAUGGGAGGAGGAGAGGACAGGCGUGGGGAGAUGGGGUGUGGAGGAGGCAUGUCUCCUCGCGCGGGGCAGAGGCGGAAGAUUUGACGGGAAGUCGGGUAGGGGCUGUUCCAAAGGGGGUACGGCCGGCGGGCCCAAGAUGCUAUGAUGAGGACAGGAGAAGCGUGAGCAGCAUGGCCAGCAUGAGGGAGAGGCAGGGGGCGGCCACCCAACAGCCACCGGUGCUGUCGUCUGUCAGGAAGGGCUCUGGGGACUCAUACACUGAGUCAUCUGAGAGAGAGAGAGAGAGAGAGAGAGAGGUAGAGAUAGAGGUAGAGAGAGAGAGAGAGAGAGAGAGAGAGAGAGAGAGAGAGGGAGACAGAGAGGUAGAGAGGUAGAGAGAGAGAUAGAGGUAGAGAGAGAGAGGGAGACAGAGAGAGAGAGACAGAGAGAGCGAGAGAGAGACAAAGAGGUAGAGAGAGAGAGAGACAGACAGAGAGAGACAGAGAGAGAGAGAGAGCGAGAGAGGGAGACAGAGAGGUAGAGAGGUAGAGAGGUAGAGAGAGAGAGAGAGAGAGAGAGAGAGAGAGAGAGAGAGAGAUUAUGCUUCAAACAGGUUGCAAUCUAAUACAGUCAAAUCCUUGUGCAGUUUCAAUCUGGCUAUAUCUGGGCUUUGUCAAAAGCAAACACUGGCAAAGCAUACAUUGACGCCUUUUGGUUCUUUUCUUCCCCGUGACCCAGAUAUGCUCUGUCAAUAGUCAUACAUACACGUGUGAUGUUUACACCUCCCACUUUCACUGUCAUCUCCAAUGUUGACGCCGGCAGAGUGAGAAGCGCUACAUGUUGUUGACAGGUCUGCACUGGGAGAGUCGUCUUGAAGACACGAGUCACACCAAUAGAGACAGCCAAUCAAACAGUGGGCGACGCUGACUCAAGGAGAGUUGAUGUGUGAGGCUGACGGUGUGUUAAAAUGUACUUGGUACUGGCAUAUUUAAUGUUAAAACCACCCAACUCUCUCUCCUUACAGCUGCCAUGAGGAGCUCUAUUUAACAUUACUUUAACAGCUUUCUGAUUUUGGAAUUCCUGACUAAAUAUAUAGGAGUUGGCCGUUUCCAUUCCGCCAAAAUACAUUAAAAAAGGAGGGGGGGGGGGGGUUCUGGGAAAAACCAAGGUUAACCCCGGUCUCCCAAACAAGAUUAGGAUUGGACCCUUAAAGAGCAGAUGACAAUAAACAGUCACAUAGCAGACUUCGGGAAAGACAUUCUAAUGGUUAGGGCAGAGGCUGGAUUGAGGCUAGGCUGUUUUGUAUAAUAAAUGUCUUUAACAGACAGGUCCCCACAUUCACCACCAUACUGCAAUUGUAAAUAUGCACACACACAUAUACAUGUGGGGUGGCG
rnacentral:lncRNA from 1 species